rnacentral:rRNA from 1 species
AUGGCCCCCGGUCGUGGAGGAUGGACGGAGGCGACUGGGGCCGAAUAUUCCGGCCAACGGGCCAAGGGUGUCGUGCUCGGCUCCGUGGACGCACCGGUCUUACACUGUUGCAUUGGCCUUGACCUAGGACGCUACACUUCUCACGGGGCGCAUCGCUGGACGAAUCUGUUCGAGCAGGGAGCAGAGUACCAAGGAGUCGCCUCCACCUACAAGCCCAAGGGGCCUUACACGGCCACCAUCGUCUUGAUCGAGCGGGCAGUAGACCCCAACACACUCGGAGAGACGUGCCAUGUCGUCAUCUACCAUGACGGCAAUAUGCCAUACUGGGAGGGGCAGAGCUAUGAGAUUAUUCCUCUGGAGAAUUACCAAAUAUCUAUUCAUUACAUAUGCUAUGUCCUUGUGUUCACCAUCUAUCUUUGUCACUCGCUGAACCCAUUGGGCAUCUGUCAGGGAGAGAACCCAAAGAACCCUGGAAACCCACAUGAUGUCUUUUAUUAUGAUCAUGAAACUAGCAAGGAGGACCCUUCAAAGAAUGGUGUCUGCAGUAAUUUAUUAUGCAACUCAAAGCCUGGGGACAAGAUUCAGCUGACAGUGUUAUAUGAGUGCCCCUAUCUUACUCUAGAAGGACCUGUGGCGUAG